rnacentral:rRNA from 1 species
GAGUAACGCGUGGGAAUCUACCCAUCUUUACUGAACAACUCCCCGUGAAACUGGAGCUAAUACCGCAUACGUCCUUCGUGAGAAAGAUUUAUCGUUGAUGGAUGAGCCCGCCGUUGGAUUAGCUAGUUGGUGGUUGUAAUGGCCUACCAAGGCGACGACUCCAUAGUCUGGUGCUGAGAGGAUGAUCAGCCACACUGGUGACUGAGACACGCGCCACCACUCCUACGGCGAGGGAGCAGUUGGGGAAUAUUGUUACAAUGAUGCGCAAGCCUGAUCCAGCCAUGCCGCCGUGAGUGAUGAAGAACCCUAUUAGUUGUAAAGCUCUUUCAUCGGUGAAGAUCAUGACGUUGGUCCGGACAAGAAGCCGCGGCUAAUUUCUGUGCCGGCAGCCGC